rnacentral:rRNA from 1 species
UACGGGGGAGCAAGCGUUGUUCGGAUUUACUGGGCGUAAAGGGCGCGUAGGCGGUCAGCACAAGUCAGUUGUGAAAUCUCCGGGCUUAACUCGGAAAGGUCAACUGAUACUGUGCGACUAGAGUGCAGAAGGGCAACUGGAAUUCUCGGUGUAGCGGUGAAUGCGUAGAUAUCGGAGGAACACCUGAGGCGAAGCGGCUACUGGCCGAUACUGACGCUGAUGUGCGAAGCCAGGAGCGAACGG